rnacentral:rRNA from 1 species
UAACCUGCCUUGGAGUGGGGAAUAACACAUCGAAAGAUGUGCUAAUACCGCAUGAUGCAGUUGGGCCGCAUGGCUCUGACUGCCAAAGAUUUAUCGCUCUGAGAUGGACUCGCGUCUGAUUAGCUGGUUGGCGGGGUAACGGCCCACCAAGGCGACGAUCAGUAGCCGGACUGAGAGGUUGACCGGCCACAUUGGGACUGAGACACGGCCCAGACUCCUACGGGAGGCAGCAG